rnacentral:tRNA from 1 species
GCAUCCGUGGCUCAAUUGGUAGAGCAACUGACUCUUAAUCAGUGGGUUCCAGGUUCGAGUCCUGGCGGAUGCACCA